rnacentral:rRNA from 2 species
GCCUAAAGGCUGAACCAGUAACUUGGAAGAAUGAAAAUGUAUUAGUAAUAAUACAAUAACGAUUAAUUCGUAUAAAAUUCUAAAUAGGAUAAUGAUAAUGACAAUUUCCUAUUUAUAAGUCUUGACCAAAUUACGUGCCAGCAGUCGCGGUAAUACGUAGAAGACUAGUGUUAGUCAUCUUUAUUAGGUUUAAAGGGUACCUAGACGGUAAAUUAAACUCUAAAUGAGUACUUUUUUACUAGAGUUUUAUAAGAGAAGGAAGAAUUUCUGGAGUAGAGAUAAAAUGCUUUGAUACCAGAAGGACUGGUAACGGCGAAGGCAUCCUUCUAUGUAAAAACUGACGUUGAGGGACGAAGGCUUGGGUAGCAAUAAGGAUUAGAUACCCUAGUAGUCCAAGCAGAAAAUGAUGAAUGUCAUAGGCUAGAUAAUAUAUUUAGUCUAUAAAUGAAAGUGUAAGCAUUCCACCUCAAGAGUAAUAUGGCAACAUAUAAACUGAAAUCAUUAGACCGUUUCUGAAACCAGUAGUGAAGUAU